AACGAACGCUGGCGGCAGGCUUAACACAUGCAAGUCGAACGCAACCUUCGGGGUGAGUGGCAGACGGGUGAGUAACGCGUGGGAACGUGCCCUUCAGUUCGGGAUAACCCAGGGAAACUUGGGCUAAUGCCGGAUACGUGCGAGAGCAGAAAGAUUUAUCGCUGAAGGAUGGGCCCGCGUCUGAUUAGCUAGUUGGUGGGGUAAUGGCCCACCAAGGCGACGAUCAGUAGCUGGGCUGAGAGGAUGAUCAGCCACAUUGGGACUGAGACACGGCCCAAACUCCUAGGGGAGGCAGCAGUGGGGAAUAUUGGACAAUGGGCGCAAGCCUGAUCCAGCCAUGCCGCGUGAGUGAUGAAGGCCUUAGGGUUGUAAAGCUCUUUCGUCCGGGACGAUAAUGACGGUACCGGAAGAAGAAGCCCCGGCUAACUUCGUGCCAGCCGCCGCCGUAA
rnacentral:rRNA from 1 species